UCGAGAAUUUUUCACAAUGGGGGAAACCCUGAUGGAGCGACGCCGCGUGGGGGAUGAAUGGCUUCGGCCCGUAAACCCCUGUCAUUUGCGAACAAAUCUGUACACCUAAUACGUGUGCAGUUGAUUGUAGCGGAAGAGGAAGGGACGGCUAACUCUGUGCCAGCAGCCGCGGUAAUACAGAGGUCCCAAGCGUUGUUCGGAUUCACUGGGCGUAAAGGGUGCGUAGGUGGCCAGGUAAGUCUGAUGUGAAAUCUCGGAGCUUAACUCCGAAACGGCAUUGGAUACUAUCUGGCUAGAGGGUCGGAGGGGAGACUGGAAUUCUCGGUGUAGCAGUGAAAUGCGUAGAUAUCGAGAGGAACACCAGUGGCGAAGGCGAGUCUCUGGACGACUCCUGACACUGAGGCACGAAAGCUAGGGGAGCAAACAGGAUUAGAUACCCCCGUAGUCC
rnacentral:rRNA from 1 species